AGUGAACGCUGGCGGCAGGCCUAACACAUGCAAGUCGAGCGGCAGCGGGUUCCCGCGAGGGGAUGCCGGCGAGCGGCGGACGGGUGAGGAACACAUCGGAAUCUGCCUGGUUGUGGGGGAUAACGUAGGGAAACUUACGCUAAUACCGCAUGAGACCCUGAGUCGACGGACUGGGGUGAAAGUGAGGGACCUUCGGCCGUCACGCGACCAGAUGAGCCGAUGUCGGAUUAGCUAGUUGGCGGGGUAACGGCCCGCCAAGGCGACGAUCCGUAGCUGGUCUGA
rnacentral:rRNA from 1 species